ACCGUGGGAAAGAAUCUACUACUGACAUUUUGCGUUGCUAGCAUAAUUCCUUACUCCGUUCUAAAUCUUACCCAUAUACUCAUAGACUAGUGUAGCUACCAUCCCUCACCAAAGACGUUUCUCUUUACAGCAAAUGGAAAGCUUCACAGGAAACCACAACCAAACACAAUGCAGAGAUCAAUGGAUUGUGGGCAGCCCGGCACAAUGGGUACUGUUACAUUACCCUUCCACAAGGAUACAGCCCUUGCCCCUAUGACUCAGAGAACAUCUCUAAAGAGUGGGGAGAAAGAGUAUAAAAGCCCGGAUAGCAAACAGUCUGCUGUGAAACAGUCUCUCCUAGAAAUGGCUGCAUAAACAAGAUCAGGAAAAACAGCAGUGUCAAUGGUUAUGUUAAUUUGGAAGCGGGGAGUUUUCACAGGGGCCCAGCCCUAGACAAAGAACUACAGGUGACUGCUGACUUCUGGAGGAGGGAGAGUUAGCCUCUCCAGGGAUGAGCUCUGCUAUUUGGUUUUCCAGGGCAGAAUUGUCAGCCUUGACACUAUAUACACACGGACAACAAAAACAGACGCAGCACAGUCUAUUUAUAUAUAUUUGUGCAUAUAUGUAUAUAUAAACAUAUAUGCAUAGAGUGUAUAAUCAAAGAAAAAGAGGCUAUCAGCUUGAGGUAACUUCAUUGCUCCUUCACAACUGUACUGUUGCUACUGCUAUGAAUGGUAAUGUUGAUAUCUGCUUUGCAGAGUAUCUGAUGUACAAUCCCAAGGGUGUUGGGACCCACAGGUUGAGAACUGCUGACUUACGGUAUCAUAAAUCAGAACACAGAGUUCUGAUCUAUUCCAAGUGUGGUCCGAAGCCGUUAGAAAUGUUUUGAGCAGGAAAGGCACAGGUCUGGAUGAUGUUUCUAAAAUACCGCAUUUCAUGGAAGACAGUUUGUAGAGGACGAGAUCGGAAGCCGAGAGACUAGGUAAGCUGUUAAAUGUGGUCUAGGAAGGGACUGUGAGGGUGCAGAUGAGGUAAUGGUUGUGAGAUGGCCAGGCACAGCAGGACUGAAGAUAGCUUUGUUGGUACAAUCAGUAAGGCUUACUAAUAGCUGGUUGGUACUCAGGAAUGGGAGGAAAAUCUAAUAGCUCUUAAAUGUCUGCCUUGAGCAUGUGGGUGGAUGAUGAAGCCAUCCCAGUAGGAUGGAAAGACUAAGUGAAAGCUAAUUUUGGGUCAGUGGGGUAGACUAGGAACCCUGUCUCAGAUAUGUCAGGUUAGAGAUGUUCAUUCCACAUCCAAUUGGAGAGACUGGUAUUUUGCUAUUUCUGCAGAACCUCUGGGUGACUAUAGAAGCAAUUCCAGAAACCAUAUUCCAGAAGUUAGUCCACCUGUAUCUUUUCUUUUUUUCCUUUCCUUUCCUUUCCUUUCCUUUCCUUUCCUUUCCUUUCCUUUCCUUUCCUUUCCUCUCCUCUCCUCUCCUCUCCUCUCCUCUCCUCUCCUCUCCUCUCCUCUCCUCUCCUCUCCUUUUCUUUCCUUUUUUCUUUUUGGCUUUUUGAGACAGGGGUUCUCUGUGUAGCCCUGGCCUGUUCUGGAACUCACUCUGUAGACCAGGCUGGCCUCGAACUCAGAAAUCCACCUGCCUCUGCCUCCCAAGUUCAGGGAUUAAAGGCAUGUGCCACCACUGCCCGGAAACCUGUAUCUUUUC
rnacentral:lncRNA from 1 species